UCCUCGUGUAAAGUCCACUAAUGAAUGAAACAGAAAUGCCUUAAAUGCUGAGCGACGGAUGUUAUUAAGCUGUAAAGAGUGUAGAAAAGAUUUACAACGAUGUUAUCGUGACUGGAGGGCUUAAGGAAAGUCGGAGGUGAAAUUAAUUGAAUUCCUGAAGUAUUUACCCUCCCAGAGAGAGCGAGGUUGACUUUACAUUUGGACUCCACGCGAUGCAUGUGAAGGUGUUUUACCUGCUCAUUUUUUUAAGAACCACUUCAUAUUUGGAUGCCCAAGG